rnacentral:snRNA from 1 species
GGAUGUGAGGGCGAUCUGGCUGCGACAUCUGCCACCCCAUUGAUGCCAGGGUUGAUUCGGCUGAUCUGGCUGGCUAGGCGGGUGUCCCCUUCCUCCCUCACCGCUCCAUGUGCGUCCCUCCCGAAGCUGCGCGCUCAGUCGAAGAGGACGACCAUCCCCGAUAGAGGAGGACCAUUCUUCGGUCAAGGGUAUACGAGUAGCUGCGCUCCCCUGCUAGAACCUCCAAACAAGCUCUCAAGAACACUGGCAGUUGUAACCAAUGACGCCACGCGCACACACACACACACAUUUGCUUGCUUCUACACCUUCAACACAGC